AGCUCCAAUAGCGUAUAUUAAAGUUGCUGCAGUUAAAAAGCUCGUAGUUGCAUUUCCGAGGCAAGGGAUUAGUCCGACCUUUGGUGGGUAUUUAAUCCUCUUGCCUCGUCCUUGAGUGGUGCUUCUUGGUAUUAAGUUAUCGAGGAGAUAGCCGCUCAUCGUUUACUGUGAGAAAAUUAGAGUGUUCAAAGCAGGCUUAUGCCGUUGAAUAUAUUAGCAUGGAAUAAUAAGAUAGGACCUCGGUACUAUUUUGUUGGUUUGAGAACCAAGGUAAUGAUGAAUAGGGACAGUUGGGGGUAUUCGUAUUCAGUUGUCAGAGGUGAAAUUCUUAGAUUUACGGAAGACGAACUAAUGCGAAAGCAUCUACCAAGGAUGUUUUCA
rnacentral:rRNA from 1 species